rnacentral:rRNA from 1 species
UGGGGAAUAUUGCGCAAUGGGGGCAACCCUGACGCAGCAAUACCGCGUGAGUGAAGAAGGUUUUCGGAUCGUAAAGCUCUGUUAUUGGGGAAGAAAAAAAGACGGUACCCAAGAAGAAAGUCCCGGCUAACUACGUGCCAGCAGCCGCGGUAAUACGUAGGGGACAAGCGUUGUCCGGAUUUACUAGGCGUAAAGGGCACGCAGGCGGUUUUUUAAGUCAGAUGUGAAAGGUACCGGCUCAACCGGUGACAGGCAUGUGAAACUGAAAGACUUGAGUGUUGGAGAGGCAAGUGGAAUUCCUAGUGUAGCGGUGAAAUGCGUAGAUAUUAGGAGGAACACCGGUGGCGAAGGCGGCUUGCUGGACAAAUACUGACGCUGAGGUGCGAAAGCGUGGGGAGCAAACA